rnacentral:rRNA from 1 species
CUAUGCGCCUUGCCAGCCCGCUCAGUCAGAGUUUGAUCCUGGCUCAGGACGAACGCUGGCGGCGUGCUUAACACAUGCAAGUCAAGGGGGCCCGCAAGGGCAACCGGCGAACGGGUGCGUAACACGUGAGCAACCUGCCCAUCUGUGGGGAAUAGCCGGCCCAACGGCCGGGUAAUACCGCAUACGUUCACUUGGGGGCAUCCCCGAGUGAGGAAAGCCUUCGGGCGCAGGUGGAGGGGCUCGCGGCCUAUCAGCUAGUUGGUGGGGUAACGGCCUACCAAGCAACGACGGUAGCUGGUCUGAGAGGAUGGCCAGCCACAUUGGGACUGCGACACGGCCCAG